rnacentral:rRNA from 1 species
CCCGCUGAACUUAAGCAUAUCAAUAAGCGGAGGAAAAGAAACUAACAAGGAUUCCCCUAGUAACUGCGAGUGAAGCGGGAAGAGCUCAAAUUUGAAAUCUGGCGGCUUCGCCGUCCGAGUUGUAUUCUGGAGAGGAUGCUUUUGGUGAGGUGCCGUCCGAGUUCCCUGGAACGGGUCGCCGCAGAGGGUGAGAGCCCCGUCUGGCUGGCCACCGAGCCUCUGUAAAGCUCCUUCGACGAGUCGAGUAGUUUGGGAAUGCUGCUCAAAAUGGGAGGUAUAUGUCUUCUAAAGCUAAAUAUUGACCAGAGGCCGAUAGCGCACAAGUAGAGUGAUCGAAAGAUGAAAAGCACCUUGAAAAGAGGGUUAAACAGUACGUGAAAUUGUUGAAAGGGAAGCGCUUGUGACCAGACUUGGGCGCGGCGAAUCAUCCGGGGUUCUCUCCGGUGCACUUCGCCGUGUUCAGGCCAGCAUCAGUUCGGCGCGGGGGAAAAAGGCUUCGGGAACGUGGCUGCUCCGGCAGUGUUAUAGCCCGUUGCAUAAUACCCUGCGCUGGACUGAGGACCGCGCAUCUGCAAGGAUGCUGGCGUAAUGGUCACCAGCGACCCGUCUUGAAACACGG